rnacentral:rRNA from 1 species
AUUGAACGCUGGCGGCAGGCCUAACACAUGCAAGUCGAGCGGAUGAAGGGAGCUUGCUCCUGGAUUCAGCGUCGGACGGGUGAGUAAUGCCUAGGAAUCUGCCUGGUAGUGGGGGAUAACGUCCGGAAACGGGCGCUAAUACCGCAUACGUCCUGAGGGAGAAAGUGGGGGAUCUUCGGACCUCACGCUAUCAGAUGAGCCUAGGUCGGAUUAGCUAGUUGGUGGGGUAAAGGCCUACCAAGGCGACGAUCCGUAACUGGUCUGAGAGGAUGAUCAGUCACACUGGAAGUGAGACACGGUCCAGACUACUACGGGAGGGAGCAGUGGGGAAUAUUGGACAAUGGGCGAGAGCCUGAUCCAGCCAUGCCGCGUGUGUGAAGAAGGUCUUCGGAUUGUAAAGCACUUUAAGUUGGGAGGAAGGGCAGUAAGUUGAUACCUUGCUGUUUUGACGUUACCAACAGAAUAAGCACCGGCUAACUUCGUG